rfam:Crassostrea gigas strain 05x7-T-G4-1.051#20 contig18445, whole genome shotgun sequence.
CGCCAGAUAGCUCAGUUGGUGGAGCACCUGGCUAUAGAUUCAGGGGGCCCGGGUUCGAAUCCUGGUCUGGUCC